UACGUAGGGUGCAAGCGUUAAUCGGAAUGACUGGGCGUAAAGCGUGCGCAGGCGGUUUGUUAAGACAGAUGUGAAAUCCCCGGGCUCAACCUGGGAACUGCAUAUGUGACUGGCAGGCUAGAGUGUGUCAGAGGGGGGUAGAAUUCCACGUGUAGCAGUGAAAUGCGUAGAGAUGUGGAGGAAUACCGAAGGCGAAGGCAGCGCCCUGGGAUAACACUGACGCUCAUGUACGAAAGCGUGGGGAGCAAACAGG
rnacentral:rRNA from 1 species